UGUUGAUCCAAAGAGAACAGUGAGGC
rnacentral:piRNA from 1 species